CAGACCUUAGCUCAGUUGGUAGAGCGGAGGACUGUAGUUGAACCAGAAUAUCCUUAGGUCACUGGUUCGAUUCCGGGAGGUCAGA
rnacentral:tRNA from 1 species